rnacentral:rRNA from 1 species
CCUACGGGUGGCUGCAGUGAGGAAUAUUGGUCAAUGGACGCAAGUCUGAACCAGCCAUGCCGCGUGCAGGAAGACGGCUCUAUGAGUUGUAAACUGCUUUUGUACGAGGGUAAACGCAAAUGCGCGUAUCUGUCUGAAAGUAUCUUACGAAUAAGGAACGGCUAACUCCGUGCCAGCAGCCGCGGUAAUACGGAGGAUACAAGCGUUAUCCGGAUUUAUUGGGUGUAAGGGGUGCGUAGGCGGUCGGAUAAGUUAGAGGUGAAAUCCCGAGGCUCAACUUCGGAAUUGCAUCUGAUACUGGUCGGCUAGAGAGUAGUUGCGGUAGGCAGAAUGUAUGGUGUAGCGGUGAAAUGCUUAGAGAUCAUACAGAACACCGAUUGCGAAGGCAGCUUAC